GAUAUCGCUCUCGUGAUUUUGCAUUUUCUCAUUUUAGUACCCCAUGGUUUAAAGUGUAUCAAGUUAGUAUUCUAUGAUUUCAUUUUUAUCUUUUCGUCAGCUUCCCCGUUAAUAUUUUUUAAAUUAUAUAUAAAAAAUAUUUCGUCAGCUUCUCUGUUAAUAUUUAGAUACUUCACCUAGAUUUAUCGAAUAUUUACUUUAGUACUUUUUAAUUUUAACUUUGCCACUGAUUUAACGAAAAAAAUUAGUGAAAUCGAUAAUAAAAAGAUAAAAAUAAAAUCGCAGAAUAUUAAAUUAAUACACUUUAAACUGCAGAAUAUUAAAGUGAAAACAUAUGAAAUCACAAAAAUAAUAAUUUAAAAAAACUUAUUUAAUAUGUAACUAUUGGAGCGUCACAAACUCGUGCAUAGCAACAAAUAAUUUUAGGCACUUGUUGGAGAAAAAGGGUACCCAAAAAAAAAAAAAAAAAAAAAAAAAAAAAAAAAAAAAAAAAAA
rnacentral:lncRNA from 1 species